rnacentral:snRNA from 1 species
GGAUGUGAGGGUGAUCUGGCUGCAACAUCUGUCACCCCAUUGAUCACCAGGAUUGAUUCAGCUGAUUGGCAGGCUAGGCAGAUGUCCCCUUCCCUCUUUACCACUCCAUGUGUGACUCUCCUGAAGUGCCCACUGGGUUGGAAGAGGAUGACCUUCCUGGAUAGAGGAAGACCAUUCUUUGGUCAAGGGUAUAUGAGUAGCUGUGCUCCCCAGAUAAACUCUCAAGGUCCAUUUGUAGGAGAAUGUAGGGUAGUCAAGCUUACAAGAAGAAGAAGAAGAAGAAGAAGAAGAAGAAGAAGAAGAAGAAUAGAAAAUGACAAUUUAUAUCCAUGGUCUUCCUUC